AUCUUUAUUAUCAUGCAAUUUCUUGAAUAGAGUUGUUCUUUUUUGUCUUUUUUUAUGUUGAAUAUGUUGUAUUCUUUUGUUGAAUUUUUCAAUAUGUACCUUAAGGGUAAUUAAGCUGUGUAAACAGAAGCUGUUAUAAUACAUAUAUAUAAGUAUUGUAAUUAUACAAAAUUCUUUAUUGCCACGUAUAAUUAGUUCAUGUGUAGCAUUAUUUUGAGGCUCUUUGAUGUAUAGUGUAAGCAUAAACAUAUUUUGUUUGUUUUCUUCUACGUAGUGUUUUACAAUCCAUAAUGAUAUAUUAUUGUAUUUUUCAUACGAAUUUGAUGCUUAGUCCACAAACAGCCUCUUAAAGUGAUUAGUCGUGUGUCGAUUAAUUUAUCGUUUAUUCAACUAAUAAAAUGAUACACCAGUUAACUCGCACUUGUAACAAUAAUUCUUAUAAAAAUAGAUAAAUUGCUACUUUACAAGCUUAAACUGAUUGAUUUAUUGUUUGCUCAACUAUAAAAUGAUAAACCACUUAGCUCGUACUUUGUAAAUUUGUAACAAUUAGAGUUGUUCUUUUUUGUCUUUUUUUAUGUUGAAUAUGUUGUAUUCUUUUGUUGAAUUUUUCAAUAUGUACCUUAAGGGUAAUUAAGCUGUGUAAACAGAAGCUGUUAUAAUACAUAUAUAUAAGUAUUGUAAUUAUACAAAAUUCUUUAUUGCCACGUAUAAUUAGUUCAUGUGUAGCAUUAUUUUGAGGCUCUUUGAUGUAUAGUGUAAGCAUAAACAUAUUUUGUUUGUUUUCUUCUACGUAGUGUUUUACAAUCCAUAAUGAUAUAUUAUUGUAUUUUUCAUACGAAUUUG
rnacentral:lncRNA from 1 species